CCUACGGGCGGCUGCAGUGGGGAAUAUUGCACAAUGGGCGCAAGCCUGAUGCAGCCAUGCCGCGUGUGUGAAGAAGGCCUUCGGGUUGUAAAGCACUUUCAGCGGGGAGGAAGGCGUUAAGGUUAAUAACCUUGGCGAUUGACGUUACCCGCAGAAGAAGCACCGGCUAACUCCGUGCCAGCAGCCGCGGUAAUACGGAGGGUGCAAGCGUUAAUCGGAACUACUGGGCGUAAAGCGCACGCAGGCGGUCUGUCAAGUCGGAUGUGAAAUCCCCGGGCUCAACCUGGGAACUGCAUUGGAAACUGGGAGGCUAGAGUCUUGUAGAGGGGGGUAGAAUUCCAGGUGUAGCGGUGAAAUGCGUAGAGAUCUGGAGGAAUACCGGUGGCGAAGGCGGCCCCCUGGACAAAAACUGACGCUCAGGUGCGAAAGCGUGGGGAGCAAACAGGAUUAGAUACCCUAGUAGUC
rnacentral:rRNA from 1 species